rnacentral:lncRNA from 1 species
UAACUAAAGAAACCCCGGAAGGAGCUUGGUGCCCGUAGCCGUCGUCAACAGUCAAAGAUGGAAGAAUGUGACGAAUCGGAAGAAGACAGCGCCACUUCCACACCACGAGAAACCGCAGAUAUUCAAGAAGAGCUCAGUCCUGUGGCGUCUACCAGUCGUCCUUACCUGCUAUUCCGAGACAACCAAGCACCAUUUCCUAUGAAGGAACACCGAAAAACAAAAGGUGACUCCGACAGCCAGUCUUCGCCGGAACAGACUUCCAGCGGAGACGAGUCUUCGGGGGUUCCUUCCAGCGGAGCCAGCGAAGCAGCUUCAGCUUCCCCGCCAAACGGCUAUCAAAAUGAAUUUGUUCGUGCCUCCUUACGGCUUUCAAUGAAAAUUAUACGCCGUCGUAUGAAGUCUGCGGCUGAUAAAACUGAAGAGGUGGCUUAUCGAGCGCAGGUCAUGCGCGGUAGACCCGAUUGAAGGAACAAGCGAAGGAACACUAUCGGAGCCAACACACGCGGAACGACACUUGGACUUGCUUUCAGAUUACCCGCACGACCUACGUGCUCGUAUAAAUGACGGCAUGGUUCAGACAUUAAUCGAGAUGAACACCCGAGUCGAACAGCUAAGCGCCGAAAUUCAACAACUCAGGAAAAGGAUAAGGGAACGUACGCGUUUGACAAACCAACAGAUCAGUGAACAUGCGAGCUUCAUUCAUGAUCUGCGAGUUAAAGUGGAAAGAGAGAGGGUGGAGGAGAAAAUGGAAAAAGAGAGAAUGGAGAAAAGGAAAAGGGAGGAAGGGAAAUGAAAAAGAAAAUGAAUGAAAAGAAAACAAAAAAAACAGAUAAAAAAUAGGGUUCAUGUUUCUGUUUGCACACGAGCACCAACUUCCGAUAGUUCUUUCAAAUGAGCCGUUAAUCGAGUACUGCAGUACACGAAAAAUGUAUC